AUUGUUCUGCUUUGUGCGUGUGUGUGGAUAAUAUAAAUCCAACACUUAGUUAAUUAGGAGACCGGACUCUCGCUUUGGGGAUGCAGACCUCCCGCCCUUGUGCGGACGUUGGGAGCGCAAACACUGCGAGGAGGUAUCCACCUGCUUUUACCGCGGGUUUUUAGCUUACCAUGCAUUACGGCAAAGCGGAUCAUAA
rnacentral:other from 1 species